GAAAUAUCCACAUUGAUAGCACAUGAUGAUAGCUCAUUUUCCGUAACUGCUAUGAAAGAUAAGUUUUUGAUUUGAAUUAUAUAUAAUAGCACUGAAACAACGCUAAAAUAGAAAAUCACCAAAUAGAAAGCUAAAAUCACUCGUUCCGCCAAUACUUAGGCGAAAUAAUUCACUUAAGCGCCAUAUGUUUUAGAUCCAAAAACUUAAAACGCCAAAGUCCAAAAAUUAAAACCCUUCACUUUACCACAAAAUAAAACAUAUCUCCAAAAAAAAAAAAAAUACCAAGUCGAAGAAAGAGAUUUGUUGGAUCUGAGACAUAGCGUGAAGCUCGUCGCCGGCCUCCACAGUGAAGCUCGUCGUCACGACGGAACACAGUAAAGGAGUUUGGUGAGAGCUGGAGCAGAUUCAAGCCAUGGAUCUGGUGGUUGGUAAGUGACGGCAAUUACUGUGAAUAUGAGAACUGUGAAGACGAAGACUGAGAAAGAGUGAACACAUGGUCGUAGUAAUUACGGGGUAAUGAAGCUCCAAACUUGAGGUUCUGAAUUCUUACCUCUUGAUAUAUAGCAAAACUGGUGGAUGAAUCUUUUGACGCUAGAGAAAUGGAGUAUGUGCGUUUAGUAUCCGCUGUUUGUUGGAUAUAUGGUGAGAUCACAUUUGUUUCGAAAUUAUUUUCUUUUGGUAAGUUGUGAAGCAGAGAGAGAUGGAAUCCUGGAGUCUCUAGAAGUGACGUAGUCAAGGUUCUCUCCUUCUUUGUUUCUUCCUUUGCCUCAGUCAGUCUGGAGCUUUCAAGUUGUCAAAAGAUGGUUUUCUAUUGCUCCAAUUUGCUCCUUUUGCUGGUGUACAACAAUAUAAUUGGGCAAGAAACAGGUUGCACUUGAUUCGCCUCCAAGCUUCUGUUUGUGCUCUCUUGUCCUAUGCUACUGUUGUUGUUGCUGCAGCUUCUGUCUCUUCUCCUAUGCUACUGUUUUUGUUGCUGCAGCUUCUGCAAAAGAGAUCUCAGACAACCAACGACAAAGAAAAGAACCAAGCUAUAGAGGAUUUGGAGAUGGCAGUGAAGUGUGGACAUCAACCUAAGUUCUUGGAGGGAGAGAAAGAGCAAAUCAAUGGAGUUCUUCGUUUAGUCCAAAUGAAUUACAAUACUUGUCUUGUUUAAGACCUUGUUUUAAAUGGUGUUGAAUACUAAACUAUGUAUCUUUUGAUGAUCUAUGGAAAGAAACAUGCUUUUAAUAAAUUGGUUUUGUAGCA